GAGGCUGUAUCUGUGGCAGAACGGUACUCCCGGAGUAUUUUUGGCAUGAUUGGUGUAUCAAUAAGGCAAUAGUGCAAGGACAAAAAUCUGCUCAGAGCCUUUGUGGACCGAGACAGAAGG
rfam:Brevibacillus sp. CF112 PMI08_contig_162.162, whole genome shotgun sequence.